AAAAGUCUGGGUAACACUCCCUGACCAGGUACAUUUCAUUUUCUUUUCUCUGCACAGCCAAAUUAAUGAUAAUGGCAUGGCACCAAUCGUCCAAAAUAGUAAAAUCAGUUUUCUUGGAAUGAUUCAAGAGUUGGUAUAAGCAUUUGAAUUAAAUGGAACAUGGUUCCACGACAUAAACUAUCAUUUUCAACCUCAAAAUACACUAUUUAGCCAAAUUGUCUUAAAACAGCACUUUAUAUACAGUGUGGUAUAUACAGAGAAUUACAAUUUAAUUUAGCCUAGUCACUAUUAUAUAUACAUUCGGAUAUAUACAACAAUAUCGAAAGUAUUAAAUAUAUAUAAGGAUAUUGUUCUAUCUUUACCAAAUAAUUUCUGUUAUUUAAUGGUCUGCCUCUCUAUAGCACACAAGGAUCUGAGUUUUAUCAUCAGCAAUAAGCGUCUGGGUAAUUAAGAGAGAGGCAAAUAGAAUUGGUAAUAUGAGAUGGUUGAAGAUGUUGGAAGCAAAGGGAUGUAUUCGGUUAGACCAUAUGAUCCAGAGAUAGUAUAACACAUUGAUGUAAAUUAUGCCAAACUGUUUCAAAUUUUAUAUGAGGACACGAGUCUUGGGAUGGUUUACCAACACAGAGGAUUUCGGUUUUAUCAUGAUUGAGUUGAGAGCCAGAUAUGGUGCCAAAAUUGUUCAAGAAGUUAACUGUCCUCUGCAUGUUGAACGAGCUUAAUCUCUGAUGGGUUGUUAUGGAUUCUGAUGCCUUUUAUAAAGAUGUUUCUGUUUAUUCACGAAGCAAGGGGAUUUAUACAUAAGGAAUUUAAUUAAGGAUCAUGGAUAAUGGACAUCCUUGAUGAAUCAAACUGGCAAUUUUAAUAUUUUAUGAAAAUGAUCCAUUUACUUGAACUUUACUAUCCAAGUUUUUAAACAGUAUUGUAACCCAAUUAAAGCUAUAAUUUGGAAAAUUCUUAUAUUUUAGUGAAUGUUUAAAUAAUUGUGUUCAAUACGAUCAAAAACAAGCUAUCGAAAAUGCUUUUAUUUGGUCCGGGUCCAGUUUGUGUUUUAGAGAUUAAUUUGUUAAUAACUGUGUUCAUCUUAAAAUUGGUAGUUUUAUGAUUUUAUAGUCGACACUUGACAGAUUUAUCAAUAUGUAGUUCUGAAGUAGUCGGUGAUCGCCUGCAUUCUUAUAAUUAAUUGUUAUUAUACCAGUUCUCAUUGUGUUAGCUAAUACACCCUGUAAAUAGAUGCCAGUUUUUACUUUUGUUAUAUUGGUUCCUAUGGUGUCAAAGAAUUUAAUGUAAAAUUUAAUGUAGAAAUCUCCUGGAAUGCCGGCUAUACCGGGACUACGGUUUGCUCUGAAACUUUUCAAGGCCUUUAGAACUUCAUCUAUUUCCAGUUGUUGACAAAUGUUUCUGAGGACAUGUUUGUUUUGGAAUGUUAAAGCUUGACAAAUUUUUUGUGAAAUAUUUUUAAUAGCUGCUUUACGUUUUUGCCACCAUUGUAUGUUUUCCAAAAUCAAUUACCCCAUUUAUUCAUAUUCUGGUUGAUAUUAAGUUACACUACUUGAUGAUCAGUGAAAGGGAAAGGAAUAUGCUAUCUAAUCUUCAAGCCUGUCCCUGUGUGUUUAGAAAGGUAAAAAUGGAUAUCAGGGGAGAUAAUUCUGUAGACAUCAGAGAUAUUAGGUUGAGUUGAAUAUGGCCUUGGUAUUUUAUUGCUUAUUUUGGAUAGCUGUUCAUGUUGCCAAGUUUAUUAUCUUUAUUGGAUUCAAUCAGAUUGAAAUCACCUCUUAUAAUUUAUGAAUGUUGUGGACAAUACAGAGUUUUGAAAUAUUAAAGAAGUUUCUUGUAUUUGGUUUUAAAUUCUCUCUUGCAGGGACCUUAUAUAUUACACAAUUGGAUAUUUGCAUUAUUAGCAUUUACUUCUAGUUCUUCAGGUAUAUUGUAACGCUUUUGUAUAAUAUUUGGGUUUCGUUAUAUGCAGUGUACAACUUAUAACCAAUUUCAUUUUCAACAUUUUUUAUAUUAUGAUUGACAUCUAAUUUUAAAAUGUCUUAUAUACAUACAAUAUAUCUAAUCUGUUAAAUAUGUUGCUAAAUUGUUUAAUCUUUUGACGAUUUCUUUGUUGAACAUUAAUUGAAUAAAUUAACAUAAUAAUUAGAAAAAUAACAGGGCUAACAGUCUCCAAAGUCUGCUUUCUAAAAUAAUUUUCAAAUCUGAAUAUAUUAAUGUGUAAAUUGUGUGAUCUCUAAACUUAUGUUUCAGUAAGCGGGGAUUCCCCUCUCGACCUUUGAUCAUCUAUUACUGUUUCUGAUAAACUAUCAAGACUUCUAUUUCUUUCAUUGUCUUUAUCACACCCUAGGAGCGGAUCCAUUUUUUUUGCGGUGGCGAACAAUUUUUGACCCAUAUAUUCUCGCGGUAAAGAACAAAAAUGAUCACCUCUCAGCUGGUAGGUAGGUACCGAAACUCAUGUUGCUAAACAGUCAGAUUAAUUGGAAAUCGUAAUUUACUACAAAACGAGCCGGUUGGUGGCUUGGUUGAUUGCCCGUCACUCCCAAGUGGAGACAGCUCGCCCCACCCUUUCUGAAAAUCCUAACAAUAAGGCAUUGGUGUCACAAUUAACAUUUGACUGUGAUGUUUCAGGGAUGUCAUUUAAUGGAUUGUCAAUACUACUUU